UAACAGCUCCAGGCUCUAGGACCACUUGGGAUGCAGGGGGUGGAUGGAAGAAAUGUCUGAUGGGUACAGCUGUUAUCCAAGAUCUACUGCUCUGCAGGGACAGAGAUCACUUGUGUGUUAGAAAGAGUGUGUGCUAUUGCUUGUUGAUGUAAUGGAAGUAAAUUAAGAUAAUGUAAAGGGCAGGUAGAUGACAGCAUCUUUCCAAAAGAUAUGCAGAACAUCUCCUGCUUCUUCUGAGGUACUUGCAAAUGUUGCCAGUUACUUGCCCUAAGUGGUGUUUGUUUCCUUUCCACAAAGAUGACAACAGGUCUGAACACUGAUAAAACAGCUUGGCAGAGUCCCAAGCAAGAUAUCUUGUUCUGGGACUAUGCUCAGCCUGAGCUUCUCACUUAUCUUGCAGGCAUUCACUCUUCAAAAGCCAGGUACAUACAUCUUUUGGAGAUAAAGUUACAACAGAAAUUUGAAUGAACUUAACCUGAAAAUGCUUCUGGAUCAGCUAACAGAAUGACGUGAUGGCUUUGGAAAAUAACACACUCUGCAGGCUGGCAUUGGGGAAAAGAAGAUGCAGAAUUAGAAGGGUUUUGAACAUGUGAGAAUAUGAUGGAGAAACAGCUUCAAAAUCCUUACUCAUCUCCUUUGAAUUUUCGUGCUGGACAACAGGGGUAUAUAUGAGCUGUAAAGAAAGCCUCACCUGUGCAGUUCCAGCGGUCAGUCCCAUGGUCCUGCAAAGGCUAACAGGAAUGGGGAGAAGUAAUGACAGAGCCAGCAACAUCUUUGAGCAUGCUUUGUGGAUCCAUGGCCCAGGCGGAGCAUCCUGCCCUACCAAAACUUUUAGAACCACUUCUGGCCCACAUCUGUGUAUUUGGGCUCAUCCCAGAAGCUGUCAGUGAAAUCUGGGAGAAGAGUAGUAAGUUUUCACUGAUUUCAAAGGAGCCCAUCUUUCAGAUAUAACCCCAUAGGUCAUGACAAAACAAUGCUACCCAACACCCCGUUCUGGAGAGGAAAAGGGAAGAAGGGGUUGCUGUUGGGGCAG